rnacentral:misc_RNA from 1 species
GUCGUAACAAGGUAGCCGUAUCGGAAGGUGCGGCUGGAUCACCUCCUUUCAGAGCUUACGUGCUCGUGUUAAGCGUCCACUCUUAUCGGUUGUUUGUUGUAGCUGGCGUAGAAACUAACUGAUAGCGCUGCUUGCAGCGCUAUCAGUUGGGUUUUGCCCAACAGCUACAUUUGUUCUUUAACAAUCUGGAAGAAGCACAACGAAAACGUGUUCAUCAAGUAAUCAGCGUUGCUGAUGAAGAUGGGCACGGGUUGUGAUUGCAUUAUUUUUUGUUCCAAGUUCUCAAGACUGGGGUGCAAACCUCAGACUGCUUUGAAACUUAUGAACGGCACAAACGCUAAUACUCAGGUCCUAUAGCCUACAGCGUUAUAGGAUCAAGCGACUAAGUGCAUAUGGUGGAUGCCUUGGC